AGGAUCCAAGAGAUGCAAACCAAUGAACAGCAGCAACAACACUUAAGAUCUGCUUUAAAAGACAAGGAAAAGGAAACUGAAAAACUCCAGCAAAGAAUUCAACAGAUUGAAGCCUCUUACCAACAGCUGCACUAUAAUGCAGA